UUUUUUUUUUUUUUUUUUUUGCAGCUGCCAAAACAUAGAAUGGUAAUCCUCUUUGAAUAUCAUGAAACCAGAGUGCCUUGGUGGCCUAGUGGUUAGGAUUCGGCGCUUUCACUGUUGUGGCCCCGGAUUCACUCCCUGGCCUGGGAAAUAACAAUAAUAAUAACAAAAAGAAUACAGGGAAAUAUUAUGGAGAUGUAUGGAAAGUUUAAAGGUGAUGUUCCAAAAAAGUUUCUUUGUAUUGUUUGUUUUUGAACAUCUAAAUGGCAGGGAAUUCUUUCCCAGGAUACUUAGCCUUUGAUGACCAUGCAGUUUUAGGGUAAUCUUUUUUCAUAUCCUGCUGCUCUGUGUGACAAGCAAAGGAAGACUGGUUUUUUGCAAUGAUUGUAUCUGGACGUCUUCCAGAAGAUACGGAAGAGGGAGGGGCAGUGGAGGGAACAGACAGACGCAGGUACUGUGGGACUAACUGUCUGGGAAAACUCAUGAAUGAUUUCCUUGCAAGUGUAGCCCGGAGGCCUUUGAAAAUUGCUUCACAUUUGGCUUUUACCAGCCAGCUUGUUUUUAGAAAUUACUGUACCCUCAAGAGGGUCACCCUCCUCACAAAGCACCACCCCAGGCAAGAUGCCAAUCCACAGGGAGUGUGUGUGUGUGUUUGUGACAUCACAUCACUUAUCAUGUCUUUGAAAGUUUGCUUUGUCCUACGUUUUCUUUAAAAAAAAAAAAAAAUGCUUGAUUUCUUGGAAACAUUUACAGAAGAUUACCUUGCAUUCACCUAGCUAUAGUCAGUAAAAAAACUUUAAUUUUUCCAGGGAUUGAGGCUUCGUUUAGGCUUUCGAGGAAGAGUGAAGAUCGAUUGAGUUGGAUUUCAGAUGAAUUCUAAUUUUGAGCCCUAGACUGUGUAGCCUGGAGAAAAGGUCUCAUAUUAGCCUAUUAAAACUGAUGAUAGCAAUAAACAGAAUGAUACCUAGUAACUGACUGAGUCAUUGCCAAGCGCAGAAUGCAUGUCUUAUCAAUCUUUCUUAGACUUUCCUGCACAUAAGAAUAUCCAGAGAGUCUGUUUCAGGUAAGACCUAGAAAUCUGCAUUUUAAGAAGCAUCUCAGGCAUCUUGGACUAUGUUUUGAGGCACAUGUGGCUUUUCGUUUAUUAUCAUUUAAAAUCCUCACAGUAACUUUGUUGAGUAGAUUCUCUUGUCAUCCCUGUUUCACAGAUGAGAGAGCAGAGGCUCAGAGAGGUUCAGUAACUCCUCUGGGUGACACAGCCCCCUAAGUGACCAUGCAGGGUUCUUAAACCUGUGACAGUCCAACUCCACCACACUGCCCCUUCACACCCAAGGUCCUGCCUACCUCCGGGCCUUUGUACUUGCUGUUCUGUCUGCCUGGAAAGCUGGUCCCCUAGAACUUUGCCUGGCUGGCGGCUUCUCAAUCAUUGAGAAUCCUUAGCUUGAAUGUCAUUCUGCCAAGAGGACUUCCCGCAUGGCUUUGCUUCACCACCCCCACCCUCACCCCCCAUGUUUCUCUUUGUCACAUCCUCUUAGUACUUUCUGUCCAGAGCACUUCUGAAGAUAGAAAAUAUUUGCUUUUCAGGAUGAUAACUGUUUGCCUCUCCCUCUUGUCCUGAAGGGCAGGACUGUGUCCUUCACCUCCCAUGCCCAGUGUACCUGCCACCAAGGAGGGUCUCACUGAGCGAAAGGACCAUGACCUAGCUCAAUGUCUUGACUGAGCUGAAAACUGCAAGAAAAUUGUUACUUAAUAUAAAAUUUUAGGAGUUCUCAUCGUAGCUCAGCGGAAGCAAAUCUGACUAGUCUCAGUGGAAACAAAUCUGACUAGUACCCCUGAGGACACAGUUUCGAUCCCUGGCCUCGCCCGUGGGUUAAGGAUCUGGCGUUGCUGUGAGCUGAUGGUGUAGGUGGCAGACACACCACAGCAAUGCAGGAUCCGAGCCUCGUCUGCAACCUACACCACAGCUCAUGGCAACGCCAGAUCCUUAACCCACUGAGUAAGGCCAGGGAUCGAAGCUGCAACUUCAUGGUUCCUGGUCGGAUUCGUUAACCACUGAGCCAUGACGGGAACUCCUAAAGAAUAUAUUCUUUAAAAAUAUAUAUUUAUACUUUGUGUAUAUAUAUUAAUUAUACACACUUAACUCUUGUAAUAAAAUAAACUUAAAUGAGCUUUAGACUUGCAUUGGGUAAGUGGGUUGGAACUUCGGUACCAUCCCUUAUAGUAGUUAGGAUUUUGCAAUAGCAGGACUGGAAGAUACUAAUCUAAAGCAGCCAGGACAGGUGCCAUCCUGAUCUUUGUAAAACACUAAGAGUAAGAUGUUGCCAUUGCUCUGAGUGACCCAGGCCAGUUCUUACCAUCUCCAGAUUCAAAAGUCUUCCUUAGGUCCAAGGGAAGUCCCUUUUUCAGUCAUCCCUUCUGAUUUUACACUAUGAAAAUGGAGGUAAAACCGGCUCAUUAUGACUGUCCUCAUUAAAGCCUUUCUUCUAGGAGGCCACGGUCCCUGUCAUCAUUUACCUGCUCAUCUGUAAGCUCACCAGCAGUGAUUUGAUUACCCUUUCCACAUAAUCCCCUAACAAGAUUUUGACUAAUGCUGGCUGGAAUGGAAAGAUGAUUUGAUUUUCUCGCAUGUAUGAAGCGGCCUCUUUGUCAUUACCUGCCAGUGUCUUGUCAGUGCUGCUCCACUGUCUUGGGCUCAUGCAGAGGACUCUUUUAAUUCUGCCCUCUCGCUAACACUGCUCUCUCAGAUUUGUGCACUUCCUCCACCUGCAGCACCCUCUCUACCAGCUAAAAUUUGACCUUGGCCCUUUUAGCACUUUUCAUUUAUGGCCUCUCGAUUUUGUGUUAUGCUUAGUAAGGUUCUCUCCUCUAUAACCUUGUUUUUACAUUCCAAAAAAAAAAAAAAAAA
rnacentral:lncRNA from 1 species